AACGCACGAGACCUGCGGACCUGCGGAAGGAUCAUUACAGAGUUGCAAAACUCCCUAAACCAUUGUGAACGUUACCUAAACCGUUGCUUCGGCGGGCGGCGCGCCCUCGCGCGCGCCCCUGGGCCCCACCGCGGGCGCCCGCCGGAGGUCACCAAACUCUUUGAUAUUAAUUGGCCUCUCUGAGUCUUCUGUACUGAAUAAGUCAAAACUUUUAGCAACGGAUCUCUAGAUCGGAAGAGC
rnacentral:misc_RNA from 1 species